AUUGAACGCUGGCGGCAGGCCUAACACAUGCAAGUCGAGCGAGCGGCGGACGGGUGAGUAAUGUCUGGGAAACUGCCUGAUGGAGGGGGAUAACUACUGGAAACGGUAGCUAAUACCGCAUACCAUCAGAUGUGCCCAGAUGGGAUUAGCUAGUAGGUGGGGUAAGGGCUCACCUAGGCGACGAUCCCUAGCUGGUCUGAGAGGGUAACCAGCCUCACUGGAACUGAGACACGGUCCAGACUCCUCCAUCAUAACACAAUCAAUAAUAUUAGACAAGUUGCGCAAGCCUGAUGCAGCCAUGCCGCGGGUAUGAAUAAUACCUUCGGAUUAUACAGUACUUGCAGCGAGGAGGCGUUACUCGCAGAAGAAGCACCGGCUAACUCCGUGCCAGCAGCCGGGUAAUAC
rnacentral:rRNA from 1 species